GGAUCAGUUCGCUGGUCGUGCCUCUGGUAUGUACUGGUGUUACUGGUUCCUCCCUUCUGACGAACUGUCAUGUCAUUAAUUUGGUGUGGCGGGGAAUCAGGACUGUUACUUUGAAAAAAUUAGAGUGUUUAAAGCAGGCUAACGCUUGAAUACAUUAGCAUGGAAUAACGAAAUAGGACGCGCGGUUCUAUUUUGUUGGUUUCUAGGAUUGACGUA
rnacentral:rRNA from 1 species